GCGGGCGUGGUGGAAUUGGUAGACACAAGGGACUUAAAAUCCCUCGGCCCUAGGCUGUACGGGUUCGAGUCCCGUCGCCCGCA
rfam:Labrenzia sp. C1B10 contig3, whole genome shotgun sequence.